GACGAACCGAGCGAACGUUAUUCGGAAUCACUGGGCUUAAAGGGCGCGUAGGCGGGCCAUCAAGUCAGGGGUGAAAGCCCCCAGCUCAACUGGGGAAGUGCCUCUGAUACUGGUGGCCUCGAGGGAGGUAGGGGCGUGCGGAACUUCCGGUGGAGCGGUGAAAUGCGUAGAUAUCGGAAGGAACAUCGGUGGCGAAAGCGGCGCGCUGGACCUCUUCUGACGCUGAGGCGCGAAAGCCAGGGGAGCGAACGGG
rnacentral:rRNA from 1 species